UGGGGAAUAUUGGGCAAUGGGCGCAAGCCUGACCCAGCAACGCCGCGUGAGGGAAGAAGGUCUUCGGAUUGUAAACCUCUGUCCUUGGUGACGAAACAAAUGACGGUAGCCAAGGAGGAAGCCCCGGCUAACUACGUGCCAGCAGCCGCGGUAAUACGUAGGGGGCGAGCGUUGUCCGGAAUUACUGGGCGUAAAGGGUGCGUAGGUGGCCUUUUAAGUUGGAUGUGAAAUACCCGAGCUUAACUUGGGGGGUGCAUCUAAUACUGGGAGGCUAGAGUGCAGGAGAGGGAAGCGGAAUUCCUAGUGUAGCGGUGAAAUGCGUAGAUAUUAGGAGGAACACCAGUGGCGAAGGCGGCUUUCUGGACUGUAACUGACACUGAGGCACGAAAGCGUGGGGAGCAAACA
rnacentral:rRNA from 1 species